rnacentral:rRNA from 1 species
UGGGGAAUCUUGCGCAAUGGGCGAAAGCCUGACGCAGCAACGCCGCGUGCGGGAUGAAGGCCCUCGGGUUGUAAACCGCUUUCAGCAGGAACGAAAAUGACGGUACCUGCAGAAGAAGGUCCGGCCAACUACGUGCCAGCAGCCGCGGUAACACGUAGGGACCAAGCGUUGUCCGGAUUUAUUGGGCGUAAAGCGCUCGUAGGCGGUUCGGUAAGUCGGGUGUGAAACCCCUGGGCUCAACCCGGGGACGCCACCCGAUACUGCUGUGACUCGAGUUCGGUAGGGGAGCGGGGAAUUCCUGGUGUAGCGGUGAAAUGCGCAGAUAUCAGGAGGAACACCGGUGGCGAAGGCGCCGCUCUGGGCCGAUACUGACGCUGAGGAGCGAAAGCGUGGGGAGCAAACAG